GUCACAGGCAUUCGGGUGAAAACAACAAGCUUGGCACCGCAUGAGACAUUUUACUUCACCGCGAGAUAGAAAUCGAAGACGUUGGCUUCUCAGAAAGACGUUUUGUUUCAUGAAAGUGUCCUCAAUUUGGACUUUGUUUUUGGAAUAAGCACACACUUAUUUAGCAGUUGUUGAAUUUCAAAUAGUUUACCUUUUGAAUACGCUCGCUCAAAGAGUAACGUUCCGCGUGAUAAAGAGCCAUCUUACAGUUGGACCAAGACCCUUUUGACGGUUUGAUCAUGAAGGAGGAGGCCAGUCCUGGAUGUCUCGGUGAGGGUGUGAAGCUCAUCUUUGAUCAGAAGGCUGGGUCCGGUCGCAGCUCCUCUCGUUCUCACAGCAGCAGCAGUGACGGCUCGUACUCCAGCAGCAGAGGAAGCCGCUCCUCCCGCAGGUCACCGAGCUCUUCACGGAGCUCAUCCUCUGACAGUGGCUCUUCCUCACGCUCUCGUUCACGUUCCCGCUCUCGUCCACGCUGCUCGGGCCGCUCACGCUGCCGUCACAGACAUCAUUCUCCUCCUCGCCGCUACCGGGCUCGCUCCCGCUCAUACAGUCCUUCUCCUGAGCGUUCCUCCUAUCGCAGACGCUACCAUCGCCGCAGCCGCUCUCCAUCCCCCUACAGCUACUCUAGACGCUACAGGCGCUCUCCGUCCCGAUCCCGCUCUCGCAGUCGCUCUCCAGUCCACUGGAGGGGAAGCAGGUUCGUGGGGAGGUACAGAUGCCGUUUCUCCCGCUCACCCAUGAGCUCCAGAGAUUACAGAAGCCGGUCUCGCAGCCGUGAACGCUCUGCGGUCCGCCUCAGCCUUGAGGAGAAGAAAUAUCUGUUGAAUGUCGCCAAAGCAAAUGCGGCCAGGAUUUUGGGAGUGCAGAACUUAGAGCUGCCAGCUAGCCUGAAGGAGCUGGAGGAGGAGGAGAAGAGAAGAUCUUCAUCAGAUAAAGAGGAAAGGGUACCACAGAAGACCUCAGCACAGGUGAGCCUCACACAUGACUACAGACUUGUUACUAACACACACCCAGUGUAUUCAGACAUCUCUAAUGUUGCAUGAACGUCCUGAGUGGUUGACCGUAUUCUGAUUUGUACUUCAAGUUAUAUCUGUGAUCUCGGGACGUUGACUAACCCAUUGAAACGGGUUUAUUUAAAAUGUGAUUGCGUGCUGUACUUACCCAACCUGGGUGACCAUGUAAUCUGUCUCCUCAGACAUGAAUGAUUUUACCUGAUGGAUUUAAUGGAAUGAUGAACAGCACUUGUCCGGAUUAGGUAAUGAACUGAAACUCCUCCACCCUUUGGACAAAGAGGGAGAGAGGGGGGAGGUCACAUGACUUGAAUGACACCAGCUUUAAGUCUUAUGUGCACAACUGCAAAGGUUAAGUAAUUGUGUACAAUGUCAGCGGUAGCCUUGUCGAACAAAAACAGACCACAUGCAUUAGUCUGAUUCAUCUCACAACACUUUCAGCAUCACACAACAACACAUGCAGAAAGUUUGGGGUCAGUAUUUGAAUUUAUUUUUAAAGAAAUCAUUACUUUCAGCAAGGACAUAUUGAAUUUAUCAAAAGGGACAGUAAAGACAUUUAUUACAUUGAAAAAUGCAGUUCUUUUUAACUUUCUAUUCAAAUUAUCUUGAGAAAAUUGAUCAUAGUUUCCACAAAAAUAUUAUGCAACAGUCUGAACACUGAUAAUAAAUGUUUGUUGAGCAGCAAAUCAGUAUAUUAGAAUGAUUUCUGAAGGAUCAUGUGACACUGAAAACUGGAGUAAUGAUGCUGAAAAUUCAGAUUUGCAUCACAGUAGUAAAUUAAAUGUAUAAUAUAUUCUAGUAGAAAACAGUUAAGUCGUAAUAUUUCAAAGUAUUACUGUUUUUGAUAAAAAUAAAUGCCAAACACAUAAAACAAACAAAUAAAAAUCAUACCAACCCCAAACUUUUGAAUGGUACUCUUUACAGCUGUUAGAACUACAAGAAAUGACUUGUUUGCUGAUCGUUGAACUGGGUUGCGUUGUCAUUUACCAGAGUUUUCAUCUGUUCAGCGUGUUUGAAGACCAGAGAGAGCUCGCUCUGCGGUGACGGAUGGGGUUUGGAAAAAUAUACCGUACUGUUUCAUCAAUUUGUAAUUUGGGCUUUGUUCAUACAAGCAGCAAAAAUCCAAAUUAUUAUUUUUGUAUUUAUCUUGUUUCCUUUCCAUUUUCUCUUUUGCCGUUUCAGAGCUGUUUAAAUAAUUUAAAGUUAAUUGGGACUUUAUUUCAAAAUUCAGAAUUUAUGAAGAUUUUCCUCACAAAAAUAAAAGAUGUAAACUUGGAAAUGCAUUUGAAUACCUUAUUUUAUUCAAUGUUUUCUUAUUCGGACUCCUAUGAUUUAGAUUCAUAUGAAGUGUGAACAAGUAAACUAAACUAAUUCACACACUGCAUAUGCAUGAAUUUGUAAAUGGUGAUACCUCAGUUGUGUUUAAAGUGACAGACAGUCUCAAAUCGAUUACUUUUUUAAGUUAAUAAAUUGGAAUUGGGUGCCAUGUGAACAAAGCCUUUGUGUACAGAUUUUUAUUUAUGCUUGUUAAAAUUGUUUUUUUGUACUAUUAAAUAAGUGAAUGGGUAAAACCCAAAUGGUGUUUUUGAUGUCAGACUGAUUUGACUGCAGCACUGGCAUUGCACAUGUCAGAGUCCCUCAGUUAGAUUCUUUUGCAUGACUUACACACCGAACUGAGGGUGUCCUCACUUAGAAAUGAAAAUCAUGUGUUACUGAAGUUAGGGUUUACAUUGGACUGCUAUUUCAUUAGACUUUUCCCCUUUUCUCUGUCUUUAGGUAAACAUUGUUGCCAAUGAUGAUGUCAAUGCAGAGACUUCUUCAACAUCACCCAACAGAAAGCCAAUUACCUUCAAUAUCAACAUAUAAAGUGGGUUUUGUGGAAGAAGGCAAGAGGAUGUCAAACAGGUGGGAAAUAUUGUGACCUUGUGUUUUUGUGUA